AGCAGCCGCGGUAAUUCCAGCUCCAAUAGCGUAUAUUAAAGUUGUUGCAGUUAAAAAGCUCGUAGUUGAAUUUCGGGAUCGGCAUGUUGGUCGUGCCUUACGGGGUAUGAACUGGCAUCGCCGGUUUCUCACCUUCUGGAGAAUCGUGAUGCUCUUAAUUGGGUGUUACGUGGAUCCAGGACCUUUACCUUGAAAAAAUUAGAGUGUUUAAAGCAGGCAUAUUGCUCGAAUACAUUAGCAUGGAAUAAUAAAAUAGGACGGUUUGGUUCUAUUUUGUUGGUUUCUAGGAUCACCGUAAUGAUUAAUAGGGAUAGUUGGGGGCAUUAGUAUUCAACUGUCAGAGGUGAAAUUCUUGGAUUUAUUGAAGACUAACUACUGCGAAAGCAUUUGCCAAGGAUGUUUUCAUUAAUCUAAGAACGAAAGUUAGGGGAUCGAAGACGAUCAGAUACCGUCGUAGUCUUAACCAUAAACUAUGCCGACUAGGAAUCAGACAUGUUAAUUUUUUAAUGUACUGUUUGCA
rnacentral:rRNA from 1 species